rnacentral:rRNA from 1 species
UGGGGGAUAUUGCGCAAUGGGGGCAACCCUGACGCAGCAACGCCGCGUGAAGGAUGAAGGUUUUCGGAUUGUAAACUUCUUUUAUUAAGGACGAAAAAUGACGGUACUUAAUGAAUAAGCUCCGGCUAACUACGUGCCAGCAGCCGCGGUAAUACGUAGGGAGCAAGCGUUGUCCGGAUUUACUGGGUGUAGAGGGUGCGUAGGCGGCUUUGCAAGUCAGAUGUGAAAUCUAUGGGCUCAACCCAUAAACUGCAUUUGAAACUGUAGAGCUUGAGUGAAGUAGAGGCAGGCGGAAUUCCCCGUGUAGCGGUGAAAUGCGUAGAGAUGGGGAGGAACACCAGUGGCGAAGGCGGCCUGCUGGGCUUUAACUGACGCUGAGGCACGAAAGCGUGGGUAGCAAACAGGAUUAGAUACCCUGGUAGUCCACGCUGUAAACGAUGAUUACUAGGUGUGGGGGGUCUAACCCCUUCCGUGCCGGAGUUAACACAAUAAGUAAUCCACCUGGGGAGUACGGCCGCAAGGUUGAAACUCAAAGGAAUUGACGGGGGCCCGCACAAGCAGUGGAGUAUGUGGUUUAAUUCGAAGCAACGCGAAGAACCUUACCAGGUCUUGACAUCCAACUAACGAAGUAGAGAUACAUUAGGUGCCCUUCGGGGAAAGUUGAGACAGGUGGUGCAUGGUUGUCGUCAGCUCGUGUCGUGAGAUGUUGGGUUAAGUCCCGCAACGAGCGCAACCCUUGCUAUUAGUUGCUACGCAAGAGCACUCUAAUAGGACUGCCGUUGACAAAACGGAGGAAGGUGGGGACGACGUCAAAUCAUCAUGCCCCUUAUGACCUGGGCUACACACGUACUACAAUGGAUGUUAACAGAGGGAAGCAAGACAGCGAUGUGGAGCAAACCCCUAAAACAUUCUCAGUUCAGAUUGCAGGCUGCAACCCGCCUGCAUGAAGAUGGAAUUGCUAGUAAUCGCGGAUCAGCAUGCCGCGGUGAAUACGUUCCC